GCGUGUAUGACCAGUGUGCCACCGGGGGAGACGGAGGGCAGUUGUGCAGGAGCCUGGAGGCCUAUGCCGCUGCAUGCGAACUGAACGGGGCCGACCUCGGGGACUGGGAAAAGGACACCGCCUGUGAACCGACACCUAAACCCACGGAGCCCACUACUCCAGAACCGACACCUACACCCACGGAGCCCACUACUCCAGAACCGACACCUACACCCACGGAGCCCACUACUCCAG